AACACAUUCCUUAGAUCCGCUGUUGGGGCCUUAAUUGGCUCAACCUCUUUACUGGAGGUAUAUCGGCAGUGAAUGAGUCAUUGAUGUGUGAGAGUAUUAUACCUCCAUUGCUAGAAAAUUGCCUAUGCUUGUUAACUUGUAUACUCAAGUGAGUUAUGGGCUAGGAUAUAUUCUGGUGGUGGGGACAAC
rfam:Daphnia magna strain Xinb3 scaffold03276, whole genome shotgun sequence.